rnacentral:rRNA from 1 species
UKUUUUUUCUCCCCCCCCCCGCUCAUACGGAGGGUGCAGCGUUAAUCGGWAUUACUGGGCGUAAAGCGGCACGCAGGCGGUCAAGUYAAGUCAGGAUGUAGAAAKCCCCGAGCUUMACYUGGGAAAUUGCAUCUGAAACUGGUUGGCUAGAGUCUUGUAGAGGGGGGUAGRAUUYCAUGUGUAGCGGUGAAAUGCGUAGAGAUKUGGAGGAAUACCGGUGGCGAAGGCGGCCCCCUGGACAAAGACUGACGSUCAGGUGCGAAAGCGUGGGGAGCAAACAGGAWUAGAUACCCUGGUAGUYCACGCCGUWAACGAWGUYGAUUURGAGGUUGUGGUCYUGAACCGUGGCUUYYGGAGCUAACGCGUUAAAUYGACCGCCUGGGGAGUACGGCCGCAAGGUUAAAACUCAAAUGAAUUGACGGGGGCCCGCACMAGCGGUGGAGCAUGUGGUUUAAUUCGAUGCAACGCGAAGAACCUUACCUACUYUUGACAUCCAGCGAAUCCUUUAGAGAUAGAGGAGKGCCUUYGGGAACGCUGAGACMGGUGSUGCAUGGCYGUCGUCAGCUCGUGUUGUGAAAUGUUGGGUUAAGUCCCGCAACGAGCGCAACCCUUAUCCUUUGUUGCCAGCACGUAAUGSUGGGAACUCAAAGGAGACUGCCGKUGAUAAACCGGGAGGAAGGUGGGGAUGACGUCAAGUCAUCAUGGCCCUUUACGAGUAGGGCUUACACACGUGCUACAAUGGCAGAUACAAAGAGAAGCGACYUCGCGAGAGCAAGCGGACACUCAUAAAGUCUGUCGUAGUCCKGAUUGGAGUCUGCAACUCGACUCCAKRAGUCGAUCGCUAGUAUCGUAAGAUCAGAUGCUACGUGAURCUUCUCSCCCRRGCUCUUA